ACGUAAACUGCAUACGAUUACAAACAAAUUUUUUUUGUGUAAAAUUUAUGAAAGAAAGACUCGAUUUUUCACAUAAUAUUAAGUGAUUUAGUUGAUAGUCUUUUUAAAAGCAUCGUAAGACCGAAGAAAACAAAUGACAAAACAAACAAAAUUCCAAUAACCAAGGUGAUAUUAAAUCUCGAAAUUUUUAAAAUCGUCAUAAGUUUUAAAAGACUCGCAGAGUGAGGUAGUGUGUGACCGUCAUUCAGAAUUUGGUAUUCUUUUUCAAUAACGCCGGAGCAUUGCAAAGGAAGGACUCUGGUUACAAGGAGUCCUUCCUUUCAUAUCGAGAACGAUUGUCACAUAGACCAUAUCAACUGACGGUACUAUUGUACAACGAGACUAUUGAAAAAUGGACAAUUUUUCAUGCGUUGCUAGUCAAAUUUGAUGCCCUGCUGUGGCGCCUGUACGAUUUUAACAUAUUGUCCAAUAACACUACCCCAACCGUAUAAAUGUAUAUAUGAAUAUAUAUACACAUAUCAUGUAUAUACAUAUCUGCCGCACGUAUGUGCACUUAACCCUGACACGUUACCGCUUCAAUUACCGGAACGACAAAACAUGGAAUUGACGAUACUCAAGAUAUUGAUUUAUACCCGAAAAUGAAAGUUAUCCAAUUGCAUGCGGAUAUUACCAAAAUCCUAUGAGGUAUAUGUAAAAAAGUCGGAAAUUGCCAAGUAUCACUUUUCUGUAUGAGUUAAGGAUGUGGCACAACAAUUGGGAGACUUCUAUGAGGAAUAGAAUAUACAGAAAGCGUAUUUCCCGGACUGAACUCUUGGACUAGACGUUAAUCAAUAUUGAAAAACGAUUGGAUAUACAAACUUUCUGCCAGUCAACCGCCCACAUUGCCAAUGUAUCCUCUGAAUGGCUAAGGGUGAAUUAGAGAAGAUAUGGCUUCAGAAAGUUUGUUUUAAUUGAACGCAAACCCCGGAAAAUUCUUAUCCAAACAUCCAUGCAGUUAAUGUUCACUUAAAGUAAUGUGCAAAAUUGGUAUGAGCCCAUUUACAUAGUCUUUCUGGCAGUCACACGCCAUUAAUGCCAUAAACAUACUGUGAGUUACGUUGCAUAUGGUAGCCAAGAACUGUCGAAUAUCAGACGAAGCACACAAUUUCUGGGAAAAGACGUUGAUCUUGUAUUCGAAGGAAGGCAUAAAUGGUUUCAGUGAUGUCAAAAGGAUAAUCGUUAGAAAUGUGAGCCCCUUUUAAAGUGAUACCUAAGAAAAGUCAUGGGUGGGUCGGAUAAAAUCUAUUUAAAUCAUGGAUCAAAACCCUCAAAAAAAAUUAGUCGACCAAAAUUUAAAUUUGCAAAAUUUUAAAUUCAUCUGGGACUUUGGACUACUCUUCCUGCAAUAAUUGGGCAAUUAGAACUUUAGUUAUCUCAAUUCAUCUUCGUCCGUCUACCGAUGCCAUUCUUUAAUUAUAUAAUUUUUUUAUUUUGUUGAUCCCAACCAAAAUUCAAGAAUCAAGAAUUUCUGAAGAAAUUAUAUAUAAAAAAUUUUCAAUAAUAAAUUUUUACUUUUGUUCAUA